CCCCGACCGAGCAGGCCCCGUUCCCUCUGAAUGGAGCAACCUCAGUAGCCCCGAAGGACCACUGAAAGAUUGAAGGACAAGAUGACCUAGUCCUGCUUCUUGGAACUCAGAGGAGGACGGGGGCCAAGCAUGCUGUUGCAGAUUUGAAAGCAAUUUCCUUGCUUUCUGAGCUGGAAUCUUGAGAAUUUUUAAAAGCCAUUUCUAUUUCUGACUGUGCUGUGACUUUAGGUCCUGUAAGAACAGUGUGCCUACUGAAGUCAUGCCAUUACAAGGGUUUGGUCAGAAAAGACAGAGAGAAGGAGUUAGCUGGGGCAUUUAUCAACAUCUGGUAUCUUAACCAGCAUCAAAAACUGACUGCGGAGAAGAUGAAAGCUCUCAGUAGUGAAGGACUGAUCUGGGGUAACCUCUGAAUGAAGACUCCAAAAUGGAGGAGAUCAACAAGGCAAUUCCUCAUUUUGCUGAAGUCCAGAUACACUUGCUGAUAGAAGGAAAAGAACAGCAGUAUACUAGAAUUCUGUGCCUGCACACAUAUGUCUGGCUGUGUACAAGUACCCAUCAGCUUAAUCUCCUAACGCCACCUGUCCAACUCGCAAAAGGACUCUGGUAUUGUACAAAAUCUGUUACAGAGGGCUUGGGAGUGGCAGUGAUUUCAGGGUAUGUGCAGGUGAAUAUUUGGAUGCCACUGAUGCCAUUAUGAUUUUUUGCCUUUUCUUUUAUAUACCUUUCAUGUAUCUUCAAUGCUCUUUACAUGCAUACUUGUAAUUCCUUAAAUCUGAUAACUUAACAUAGUCCUGGUUUUCUGUUAGGCCAGAAAACCAAACAUCCUAGAGGCCUUGCAAUUGGAGAUAAAAACCCUUUAUCCCUUAACCACAUCUGGCUCUCAAUUUUAAGACCAAAAAAAGGCACCACCACAGCUCAGGAAAGAAGACAGAUGUUACAUUUAUUCUUGGACUUUAUGUCUGAAGAAAUUAAACCGCUUUUGCAACUGCUGGUUGCCAGUAAAUUAUAGACAUAGCAGCAUAGCAUUUCCAUUGCACAUCCUAGUGAUGUCCAGCAUUCAAAAGAAGUACUUCUAAUAAAAGUUUAAACUGAUAAUGAA